GGGUCCGUAGCUCAGUUGGUUAGAGCACCUGCCUUUUAAGCAGGGUGUCGUGGGUUCGAGUCUCACCGGACCCACCA
rnacentral:tRNA from 1 species